GAUUAACGCUGGCGGCGUGCAUAACACAUGCAAGUCGAACGAUGAAACUUAGUAGACUUCUUCGGAAAGACACUAAGCGGAUUAGUGGCGAACGGGUGAGUAACGCGUGAGUAACCUGCCUUACACAAGGGGAUAGCCUUUGGAAACGAAGAAUAAUACCCUAUAAAACCAUAAAAGCACAUGCUAGAAUGGUCAAAGUGAUAGCGGUGUAAGAUGGACUUGCGUCUGAUUAGCUAGUUGGUGAGAUAAAAGCUCACCAAGGCAACGAUCAGUAGCCGGCUUAAGAGAGUGUACGGCCACAUUGGGACUGAGACACGGCCCAGACUCCUACGGGAGGCAGCAGUGGGGAAUUUUGCACAAUGGGGGAAACCCUGAUGCAGCGACGCCGCGUGAUUUAGAAGGCCUUCGGGUUGUAAAAAUCUUUUGUAUAGGAAGAAAAUGACAGUACUAUACGAAUAAGGUCCGGCUAAUUACGUG
rnacentral:rRNA from 1 species